rnacentral:lncRNA from 1 species
CAGAGUGUGACGCUUAAGAAGAAGACGCAGGGUCGCGAGUCUACACUCAACUUGCCUGUGGCGUUGAUGGGACUCCCUCUUUAUCAGUGUGUUUAUUUGAACUUCCGCUUGGCUUGUAUUAAGUACUCUGGAUUUGUUAAUCGAACCGAUGUAAUAGACAUGUGUAUGGUAUUUCAUCAAUGAAACUGUGUGUGCUAGCAAUUGAUCCAGGGACUAGCACAGUUUACACAGAGGUCCGGAUCCUUACGGGUCUGGGUCGCCACAUCGAUGUGGUCGUGGUAGAGGCUAGGGACGUGCGCGACAUCGAGGCGGACAUCAUGACGCGGUCGAUGCGGUCGGAGACGCAUCCGGGCGGCGACGGUGGAGCUCCGGGCGCGGCUUUGGCAUGGGGUCGGGGACGGCGUGGCCAACGGCAUCAAGAGGUCACGAAACUUUGUCACAAAGGUAGGUAAGGGUCACAUGAGUCUACCGGUGAAAGGAAUCGAAGAACGGAGGUUCGGGGUGAUCUCACCAGCAACAAUGGUGGCGGUGACCGGCGAAGGAAGACGUCGACAUAGCCGGCUGUACAGAGGUUUUGAGGCCAAACUUUCUACAUGGGAGUGGGAGAGGAGAGGCAAAGGCUCAAAGUGACGCGCGUGGAAUCAUUUUAUACUGGCCGAGAAGGGAGAUCGGGCGUGGAUGUCGACGGCCGACAUUCGGGGCGCCUCUUUUGGAAACUGCGGUUAUGAGAGGAAACUUCAAAUCGGUUUCCUGAAUGGGUUCCCGGGAUGGUGAGGAUUGAUGAGGUGGUUUCCUUUCGGAGAGAGACGCGCGGGAAGGAAAGAAAUCAAAAAAAGAAAAUAUGGAAAGAAUGGUUUCCUUAAGUGCACACGAGGAAGACGAGCACCCUGCCUGGGGCGCUCGGUGGAGAUGGGCCGGCCCAGUUGGGUCGGUCCAUUCUCUCUUUUUUUUUCAUUCUUUUCCUUUUUUUUUCAUUUCUAUUUUUAUUAAUAAUUUUUGAUUCCUAACUCCAAAUAAGUCCAAAUAAACUCCAGUAAAUUUGUAAAUUCAAAUCCUCCAAAGUGUGAACUUUUGGGACUUGAAUCCUUUCAAACUAAAAUAAGUAAAAAUACUUUUGAUUAUAUAAAUGUCAUUAGGGCUUUAUAAGUAAUACAUAAAAUUGGUUUUGAAUUCUAUCAUGAAACCUUUGUUUCAUAAAUUAGUUUAAACUCCAACAAAAUAUUAGGUUGGCAUAAUUUGCACUAAAACCCUUACUUAGAUAAAUACCCCAUUGGGUUGAACUCCAAAUAAAAUCUCAUAUUAAUUACAUGGUUCACUAAAUUCCCAAAUAGCUUUAUAACACCAAAUCACAAACCAUGUAAACCAUCACAGAUGUUUCCAACUAUAUAUGUUUGGUAAGUCACGUUAUCCCACUCUCAACAAUGGAAUAAAUGUUGGAAUAACAUUUGCACAUGAGGAUGUCACGUUAUCCUCUUCUCAAAUAUUUGAUAGUUUCCUCUCGAAACAAAAUGAACACGCCAAUGCAAAUAUCGAGAGAAAC